GGAUUUUGGGCGUAAGAGCUCGUAGGCGGUUUGUCGCGUCUGCCGUGAAAGUCCGGGGCUCAACUCCGGAUCUGCGGUGGGUACGGGCAGACUAGAGUGAUGUAGGGGAGACUGGAAUUCCUGGUGUAGCGGUGAAAUGCGCAGAUAUCAGGAGGAACACCGAUGGCGAAGGCAGGUCUCUGGGCAUUAACUGACGCUGAGGAGCGAAAGCAUGGGGAGCGAACAGGAUUAGAUACCCUGGUAGUCCAUGCCGUAAACGUUGGGCACUAGGUGUGGGGGACAUUCCACGUUUUCCGCGCCGUAGCUAACGCAUUAAGUGCCCCGCCUGGGGAGUACGGCCGCAAGGCUAAAACUCAAAGGAAUUGACGGGGGCCCGCACAAGCGGCGGAGCAUGCGGAUUAAUUCGAUGCAACGCGAAGAACCUUACCAAGGCUUGACAUGGACCGGACCGCCGCAGAAAUGUGGUUUCCCCUUUGGGGCUGGUUUACAGGUGGUGCAUGGUUGUCGUCAGCUCGUGUCGUGAGAUGUUGGGUUAAGUCCCGCAACGAGCGCAACCCUCGUUCUAUGUUGCCAGCACGUGAUGGUGGGGACUCAUAGGAGACUGCCGGGGUCAACUCGGAGGAAGGUGGGGACGACGUCAAAUCAUCAUGCCCCUUAUGUCUUGAGCUUCACGCAUGCUACAAUGGCCGGUACAAAGGGUUGCGAUACUGUGAGGUGGAGCUAAUCCCAAAAAGCGGUCUCAGUUCGGAUUGGGGUCUGCAACUCGACCCCAUGAAGUCGGAGUCGCUAGUAAUCGCAGAUCAGCAACGCUGCGGUGAAUACGUUCCCGG
rnacentral:rRNA from 1 species